rfam:Tetraodon nigroviridis, WGS project CAAE01000000 data, contig: CNS0BTTK, chromosome: undetermined
GUGAAGCGUUCAUUUGGGCUGUGCAGUCUUCAGCUGACAUAUUUUGAUGAAGAAAAUGAAGAG